rnacentral:rRNA from 1 species
UACGUAGGGUGCGAGCGUUGUCCGGAAUUACUGGGCGUAAAGAGCUCGUAGGUGGUUUGUCGCGUUGUUCGUGAAAACUCACAACUCAAUUGUGGGCGUGCGGGCGAUACGGGGCAGACUGGAGUACUGCAGGGGGAGACUGGAAUUCCUGGUGUAGCGGUGGAAUGCGCAGAUAUCAGGAGGAACACCGGUGGCGAAGGCGGGGUCUCUGGGGCAGUAACUGACGCUGAGGAGCGAAAGCGUGGGGAGCGAACAGGA